UGAAGGAAAGGCGAAAAGAACCCCAGUGAGGGGAGUGAAAUAGAACCUGAAACCGUGUACGUACAAGCAGUGGGAGCCCGAAAGGGUGACUGCGUACCUUUUGUAUAAUGGGUCAGCGACUUAUAUUUUGUAGCGAGGUUAACUGAAUAAGGGAGCCGAAGGGAAACCGAGUCUUAACUGGGCGGAUAGUUGCAAGGUAUAGACCCGAAACCCGGUGAUCUAGC
rnacentral:rRNA from 1 species